CAGGCCUAACACAUGCAAGUCGAACGGUGAUAGCCCUCGGGCUAGUACAGUGGCAAACGGGUGCGUAACGCGUAAGCAACCUGCCCCUGACUGGGGGAUAGCCUGGCGAAAGCCGGGGUAAGCCCCCAUAGUCCCCUUUCUUCUCCUGAAGAGAUGGGUAAAGAUUCAUCGGUCAGGGAGGGGCUUGCGUCGGAUUAGCUAGUUGGCAGGGUGACGGCCUACCAAGGCGAUGAUCCGUCGGGGUUCUGAGAGGACUGGCCCCCACAUGGGUACUGAGAGACGGACCCAACUCCUACGGGAGGCAGCAGUAGGGAAUAUUGGGCAAUGGGCGAGAGCCUGACCCAGCCAUGCCGCGUGAAGGAUGAAGGCGCUCAGCGUUGUAAACUUCCUUUAUCAAGGAAGAACUGCAGUCCUGCGGGAUUGUGUGACGGUACUGGGGGAAUCAGCACCGGCUAACUCCGUGCCAGCAGCCGCGGUAAU
rnacentral:rRNA from 1 species